GUCUGCAAAACUUAUAUUUUGGCAUUUUGUUUCCCUUAUUAAAGCAAAUAUUCAUGCCGAGAAAUAAAAUGUUUAUCUUCGUCAUGAAAGUGUAAAAAAUGCUGUAAUCCGUAACCCCCAGUGUAGGAACUGGACCUAUUAAGUUAUUUAAAUAUUCAAAACCACUUGCAGCAAGUUGCUAUAGAUGUUUUCAGAGGGACAGACGUACAAAGCCACACGAUACAUGUACCAAUAUAAACCAAUCUAAUCACAAACGUUAAAGCACGGCAUUGGGUACGAAGUGGUCUGUGUACGCGUGGUAGCCCAGAACUUACUUGCAAUUAUCAACGAAGGAUGCCAUUUUCCCUGGAAUUUGGUAUGUAUGCAAUCGCCAGGCAUGUCAUUCUCUAAUCAACGCAGAUGUGCUUAAAAUCGGCCACCGCUUCUCACCAAUCCAAUAAACUAAACAUUUUUCGGGUAAAUUCUGUUCAGUAGCCAUUUUUCAAACAAAUUCCGCCAAGAAACAUGCGCGGUCGAUUUCGGUAGUUUCCGGUAUUUUCCCGGAAAUCUCCGAUUCCAUUAUUGCUGGUUUGUAUCAUUUAAUUAUUUUGUUUUUCUUUAAUUAAUGCUAUUUUGGCAAAAACAAGAUUAACGUGCAUCUAAAAUAAUAACAUGAUGGGAAAAUUAUGAUAUUACAAAGUUCUAUAAAUAAAAAAUGUGCGGUGGCGCUAAUUAGCACGUGAUGCAAACAAACCGUUCAACAACAACAACAACAACAACACGAGGAAACAUGCGUGAAAAGGCAAACAAACAAUAUUUGUAAACACGAGAACAACUGCUGGCGGUACACAUUAUAAGAAGAUCACUUUAUUGGACGAGAAGUUGUUUCAGACGUUGCAUCUUGAAGACAGCGAUCACUUCAUGAUCAUUCUCACAGGAAAGUGAAGAGAAAAUGGCCAACAGGGAGUGUAUAUUGGGAAAAUUGAAACCUUUCAAAGCAACUGAUGAGUACUACAAUCUUCUGCCAGAGGACGAAGCAGCAACCCCCAAGUCAUUCACAAGAUUA
rnacentral:lncRNA from 1 species